rnacentral:lncRNA from 1 species
GGGCCUGGUGUGGAAGGUGCAAGAUAAACCGAGCCUUGAAGGAGAUGAAGGAAUUAACAGGUAGAAUCUGGGGAAAGAUCAUGGCAGAAGAGGACUCAUUAGAGCAAUGGCCCUGGAGCAAGGAAGUGUCCACUGUAUCUGAGUGACAGCCAAGACACCCGUGUAGCUGCACUACCAUCAUCGAGGGGAAUUAUUUAAAACUCAAUACUAUUCUCUAGGGUUCUGUUCCUCACCUGGAGUUUUCAUAAACUCUGAGGCUUCUGGAGUCCAGAAAUGACUUAUCCAAAUGGCAAAGUCUUAUUUUUGGACAGUUUAAUGAGACCCUUCCUGCCCUCUGCUACUGUCUAGAACUGUGUAAGUGGAGUUGCUGGACCACAGGACACCAAUAUCUGUCCCACUAAUUUUCCUAUUUCAGCUAGAUAAUUACAGCCCCUGUAAGCCAAGUCUGCCUCUCAAGUAGCCUUCCAAGGAUGAGCUGGAGAAGGUGUUGGCCCCUGGCUCCUGGCUUUUUCUAGUUGUAUGGUGUCCGCAUUGUUGUUAGCAAGCUUUCUGUAUCAGCUCACUGUGUGUUGCUAGAAUGCAAUGCCUGAGGCUGGACUCCUUAUAAAGAAAAGAGUUUUAUUUAAAUGCCCAAGACCAGGCAGCUCCAUCUGUUCAGCCUUGGGGGAGGGCCUUUGUUUACAUGACAGUAUGUCAGAGGGCAUCAUGUGGAAGCAUGUGUGGGAGGGAGAGAUCACAUGGUGAGACAUGAAGCCAGCCCUGAGAGGGGCCAGUCUUGCUCUUUUUAUAAUAAUCUGCUCUUGCUAGAACUAAGCAGGACCACAGAGACCUACGUUAAUCUCUUCCAAGGGCAGUGUGCCCAGUGACGUACCACCUUCCUCUAGUCCCCACCUCUUAAAAUCUCUACUGCUACUCAACACCACACACUGGGGACCCAGCUCUCAGCACCAGAACCCUUGAGAGACAAACCACACCCAGACCCCAGCGUUCUUGAUCCACAAUUGAGAGGUGGAUUCUUGAACUUUUCGCUUCUCAGACAAGUUCUAUUGCCUCAGUGAACCCAGG